CAGCCAGGCACGUGUGUUGUGACUGAGUAAAUCGUUUUUGUGUUAUUUAGAGGGAAAAUGCGUGCAUUUUAGCGUUUGAGUCACUUUUCAAAAGUUGCUAAAAGUUCCAAAUACAUUUUUAAAAGUAGCUAAAUUUGUUGCUUGGUGCUGUUUGAAAAACAGUUGCUAAAUCUAGCAACAAAAUUGCUAAAUUGGCAUCACUGGUCCUGUGGCACGGAAGAGUAUUUUUGAGUAUGAAGAAAAAAACGGAGACCAGAAAAUGAAACCGAUCGGCCUCUAUGAGGAGCUCUCCUUCACUGACCUGGAGCAGGUGGUGGUUGCCCUCAAAAUGACAGUCAGUAUGGACCAACUCUAAUGAAGAGUUUUGUGCUAGCCUGGAGGAAAUACAGAAAGCCAGACAGGAUACCACAAAAUCCAUCAGUGAGAAGGACAAAGGACUGCUUGAAUCAGUCAAGAGCAGCAAAAUAUAAGUAGACUUAGGAUGUUGGCCUUUCUUUGGAGCAUGGGGCUGAUGACAAUGCUCAGAAAACAAAUUAGGCCUCAUCUCCCUGCACAACUCAGCCUCAUACGGGCCAGAAGAGGACUGGCCACCCCACAUAUGCUCUCUCUAAUUCUCUCUCUCGGAGGACUUGAGCCCUAGGACCAUACCCCAGGACUACCUGACAUGAUGACUCCUUGCUUUCCCCAGUCCACCUGACCGUGCUGCUGCUCCAGUUUCAACUGUUCUGCCUUAUUAUUAUACGACCAUGCUGGUCAUCUAUGAACAUUUGAACAUCUUGGCCAUGUUCUGUUAUAAUCUCCACCCGGCACAGCCAGAAGAGGACUGGCCACCCCACAUAGCCUGGUUCCUCUCUAGGUUUCUUCUUAGGUUUUGGCCUUUCUAGGGAGUUUUUCCUAGCCACCGUGCUUCUACAGCUGCAUUGCUUGCUGUUUGGGGUUUUAGGCUGGGUUUCUGUACAGCACUUUGAGAUAUCAGCUGAUGUACGAAGGGCUAUAUAAAUACAUUUCAUUUGAUUUGAGUUAGACACUGAACCAUUGCCUAGAAAUUAUUCUGCACAACGGGCCGAAAUAGUAGCAUUGACUAGAGCCUGCGAAAUAAGAAAAGAGAGAAAGGUUACUAUUUACACAGACAACACAUAUGCAUUUAAAACCAUACAAAGCAGCACAGAUACAUUUUUAAAGUAGAUAAAUCACUUGACAGAGAAUUGUUACAGGAUAGCCAAGAACGAACGCCCCAGGGAGAAUUGGACAUGUGGAAAAUGAAAGGGGCGAUCCUACAAGAUAAUGUCAGACAUAAGGAUAAUUUACUAAUCUUACCUAAGUCAUUGUUUAGAUAUGCAGCAAUAUUGACACAUGGGCAGAGCCAUGUGCCAACAGGGAGAAAGGAUUGUAGAGCAGGUUAGGAAACACCAGGUGGUAGAGCAGGUGAGGAAACACCAUGUGGUAGAGCAGGUUAGGAAACACUGCAGGUUAGGAAAGACUUAGUGGCCUAGAAGAUAACUACUUAAAAAAAUAAAAAUUGUAGAAUAUCCAUUCCAACAUUUGGAAAUGGACUUCAUUGAACUAUUCUCGAAGUGAAGGGAAGAAGGGGUGUUUAACAAUAAUAGACAAGUAUAGCAAAUGGGUAGAAGCGUUUCGAACUUACUUGGCGAUUAUGGUAGAUUAUGGUAGCUAAAAUAUUAGGUCAAGAUAUUAUCCCUAGAGUUGGUUUACUAGGAUCUAUUUCUUUAAAUAAUGGAUGACAUUUUAGCUAAUCAGGUAGAACAAAUAGAAUGCCAGAGUUAGGGACCAGAACAGGACAGGUAGACAUAGAAGUUGAAGAUAUACUAGCAGAACACAUGAGAAGACUGUUUGUUAACCAAACCCGUAUGUCCAAGAUUUUGUGUCGAACAGGUGAAUGACAGGAGAAGGUGAUUCACUCAAUCCAACCAGGAGACUGGGUGUGGAUCCAGUCCCUGAGGAGAAAAGACUGGAAGCAGCCCCGUUGGUAAGGCCCAUAGCAGGUUCUGUUAAACCACCAGCUUUGCCAUUAGAAUAGCUGAGAGAGUCACUUGGGUCCACGUUACCCACUGCAAAAGGGUAUGUACACAUACAAGCACUGCUGCUCACACACAGAGUUAGGUGAAGAACCGAGUACCAACAGGGUCCAGGGGUCACCUCCUUAACGAAGAUUCCCUAUCCCGACCUUUCAUCACUGUGUGUGCUCCUAGAGGCGUGAGUAAGGGGUGGUACCUAGCAGAUCGACGAAGGGCAGGAUAGGGUUGGCGGUUUUUGGGAAGACAAGGAACUCUGAGCUGCAUCAUAGUCUUGGUAACCUUUCUGAUACAUCCAGACCCACCACCUUCCGGUACUAAUUAUAUGAUGCCGUUGUCAUUGAUAAGAAGUAAAAGAUAAACUAUAUAAUACACUCAUGAGUGACUUACAGAAUAAGGAGUCAAAGAAGAUCAAGAAGGUAAACAUUAAACAAUUCCCUAGGAAAGCAAAUAACUUUACAGGGAUUGGGUUGGCCAGAUUGAAGUAAUAAUAAAUAAUAAAUAAAUAAGUACUCGGCCAACCCACCUCGGUUCACUUUAACUCCCGAUGAGUACCAGUGUUAUAGAUACAAGAAUGGCACCGAGAUUUUAAUGGCUGAAAGUUAAUCGUUAAUGUGACUGACUUAGGUUUGGAAGUACAGGAGAAAAUUCUUAACUUCUCUGAACAAUUAUCCGCCACCUCCCUCAUGACCUGGUAAAAUAGACUGACUCUCGAUAUGUUAUUGGCAGAAAAGAGCGGGGUAUGUAGAAUGAUUGGGGUUCAUUGCUGUACGUUUAUUUUUUAAUAACACAGCUCCAGACGGAUCAGUGACCAAGGCCCUGUCAAGUUUGACCACAUUAGCUCAUGAGUUAGCAGAGAACUCUGGGGUGGAUACUUCCCUGACAGGGUGGUUCGAUAGCAUGUUUGGGAAAUGGAAAAAUAUCGUAAGUGCUGUAUUGUGGGCUGCUUUCACCUGUAUGAGUGUGUUGGUGUUGUGUGGAUGCUGUUUGGUCCCAUGUGUGAGAGGUUUAAUCACCAGAACUCUAGAGAGAUCGAUGACGCAACAGAUGGUGAGAUAUGGACCGAUUCCGAGCUCCGACCAGUGGGAUGACAAAUACAGGCGUCCAGGCCUAGGAGAUGGCUCCGUUUCUUUUAACCACGAGGAGCCAAUGUUAGAUGAGACUGUCUUCAAUAUUUAGAGAGACUGUUCCUUUAAUGAAGAUUAUAAUACAAAUCCCAAAAAGAAGAGUUAUAAUUGGAUAUAGGCCUAGAGCAGUCGAUGAUAAGAAUCUGUUGUAAAUACAUGUAUUCGUUUUGUUUGAUUUUGUGUAACAUUUUUGAUUCCAUAUGAUGGUGGAUGUAUCAGUGUGUAUUAUUUAGUCAUUAAGGGUGGAUUGAUUAAGGGAAUUAAUAUGCUUAAAGGUAAUGAUUAAUAUUCAGCAAAGAACAACAAAAAACACUUAUUUUUACAGGGAAAUCAUAAUUAGUAAAUAGGACACACCUGACUGUCAUUAAUGUCUCUAGGACAGUCUCUGCCGCCUUCUGGUGACAGGUGGAACCAUGACAGGUUUACAAAUGCUGUUUUGAAUUAAAGAAAAUUGUACCUACACACUGAAGAAAGUCUGUGUACGGUAUCCCUGAUGCAGUAAAAAAAAAAAAUUUGAGGUGAGCUUUAUGCGACAUAUUUGUAUUGCGAACCCAUUACACCUCUUUGUUUGUUGUCUAAUGAAUAACUUCACCAUGCUCAAAGGGAUAUUCAUUGUCUGCUUUUUUUAUUCUUACCCAUAUAGGAAUAUUUGACCUUCUUUGCGAGGCAUUGGAAAAUAUGCCUGGUCUUUGUGGUUGAAUAUGUGUUUGAAAUUUACUGCUGGACUGAGGGACCUUACAGAUAAUUGUAUAUGCGGGGUACAGAGAUGAGGUAGUCAUUCAAAAAUCAUGUUAAAUACUAUUAUUGCACACCAAGUGAAUCCAUGCAACGUAUUAUGUGACUUGUUAAGCAAAUGUUUACUCCUGAGCUUAUUUAGCCUUGCCAUAACAAAAUGCAAGAGUUGAAUAGCUAUUGACUCAAGACAUUUCAGCUUUUCAUUUGAAAUUGAUUUACAAAAAUGUCGAAAAACAUCAUUCCACUUUGACAUGAUGGGUUAUUGUGUGUAGGCCAGUGAUCCAAAAAUCUAAAUGUAAUCCAUUUUAAAUUCAGGCUGUAACACAACGAAAUGUGGAAUAGUCAAGGGGUGUGAAUAUUUUUUGAAGGCACUGUAUGUUAAUAUACAGUAUGUUAAUUGCAUGCAAAUAAAGGUUGCUUCUCUACCACACCCAUAACAGAAGCACAAUCAUGGCCUCGGUUAUGUAGGUGGAGGACUUCUGUGAGAGGUCGCUGUCACGCCUGAAUUCGACCCUACGAUGAAGUCUGCUGCAGUGUUGAGAGGUUGUAUGAAAUCGAUCGGUAUGUCAAGUAAAGCUCUUAAAUCUUAAACAUGCCAGCCCGAUAUCAAUUUCUAUUCAGUUCAACUCUCCAUAAAUUCGGCGUCUGAACUGUGUAUUAGACAGGUAAAUUGCUGAACCUGGUGCAAGGGGUGGAAGAUGCCAGAGGGACAGUUUUUACAAGCUGAAAUUGCUAACUGAAGUGUUUCACAAUAGCCCCGCCCUAGCGCGAAACUAGCAGCAAAUUGAAAUGUUUAUGACACAAAUUUAGAGGCGAAGCCAUGGCAGUACCUGGCUGGGCAGGGUGCCUGCUAGAUUGAUCAAGAUGGCACCGACAGACAGCUCUACUUAUGGCUCCACAAGCAUUUCUUUACACCAGCAAUAACAUCUGCUAAAUAUGUGUGUGACCAAUAAAACUACACAUUUUAUUUUAUCUGAUUGAACAUUGACCACCCUGGCUUAAAAUAAAAUAAAAAAUUAAUUACAUUA